rnacentral:rRNA from 2 species
AACGAACGCUGGCGGCAGGCUUAACACAUGCAAGUCGAGCGCCCCGCAAGGGGAGCGGCAGACGGGUGAGUAACGCGUGGGAAUCUACCCAUCUCUACGGAAUAACGCAUGGAAACGUGUGCUAAUACCGUAUACGUCCUUCGGGAGAAAGAUUUAUCGGAGAUGGAUGAGCCCGCGUUGGAUUAGCUAGUUGGUGGGGUAAAGGCCUACCAAGGCGACGAUCCAUAGCUGGUCUGAGAGGAUGAUCAGCCACACUGGGACUGAGACACGGCCCAGACUCCUACGGGAGGCAGCAGUGGGGAAUAUUGGACAAUGGGCGCAAGCCUGAUCCAGCCAUGCCGCGUGAGUGAUGAAGGCCCUAGGGUUGUAAAGCUCUUUCACCGGAGAAGAUAAUGACGGUAUCCGGAGAAGAAGCCCCGGCUAACUUCGUGCCAGCCGCCGCGGUAA